rnacentral:sRNA from 1 species
GCUGGGCUCAGUGGCACACGCCUGUAAUCUCAGCAGCUUGGGAGGCUGAGACAGGAGGAUCACAAGUUCAAAGCCAGUGUCAGCUAUGGCAAGGCCCUAAGCAACUCAGUGAGACCCUGUCUCUA